CCCGGAGACCAGAGACUUGGUGUCGGACACGCUUUCAAUGAAACAAGAUGAGAUGAGACGAGAUUGUCCUGAUUAGUCUCUGCGGCAAAGAUAAAGACUUUCCAGGUCCUCAACUUCUCCAGACUUACACAACUGACAGUGGCCCACAGCAGAAU